AGCGAACGCUGGCGGCAGGCCUAACACAUGCAAGUCGAACGAAGUCUUCGGACUUAGUGGCGGACGGGUGAGUAACACGUGGGAACGUACCUUUUGGUUCGGAACAACUCAGGGAAACUUGAGCUAAUACCGGAUGAGCCCUUAGGGGGAAAGAUUUAUCGCCGAAGGAGCGGCCCGCGUUAGAUUAGCUAGUUGGUGAGGUAAAGGCUCACCAAGGCUACGAUCUAUAGCUGGUCUGAGAGGAUGAUCAGCCACACUGGGACUGAGACACGGCCCAGACUCCUACGGGAGGCAGCAGUGGGGAAUCUUGCGCAAUGGGCGAAAGCCUGACGCAGCCAUGCCGCGUGAAUGAUGAAGGUCUUAGGAUUGUAAAAUUCUUUUACCAGGGACGAUAAUGACGGUACCUGGAGAGAAAGCCCCGGCUAACUUCGUGCCAGCAGCCGCCGCAGUAA
rnacentral:rRNA from 1 species